rnacentral:misc_RNA from 1 species
CCGUUAAGUAAUGUGAAUUGCAGAAUUUACGUGAAUCAUCGAAUCUUUGAACGCACAUUGCGCCCUAUGGUAUUCCAUAGGGCAUGCCUGUCUGAGCGUCAGCUCCCACCCUCAUCAGAUUUUUCCUUUUUUUUAUUAAGGUUGAGUCUGGAUAUUUGGGGGAAGUGGUAUUCUCGGUACCACUCCUCUGAAAUUCAUAGGCGGUAUGGUCAAAUCCUGAACCUGACGUAAUAAAUAAAAUAAAAUCGUCUAACUCAGGGGGAGUGAUUGUAGUUGCCUUGAACCCAAUUAUUAUUUUUUAUUUUGGGUGACCUCAGAUCAGGUAGGGAUACCCGCUGAACUUAAGC